rnacentral:rRNA from 1 species
UGGCGGACGGGUGAGUAAUGUCUGGGAAACUGCCCGAUGGAGGGGGAUAACUACUGGAAACGGUAGCUAAUACCGCAUAACGUCGCAAGACCAAAGAGGGGGACCGUCGGGCCUCUUGCCAUCGGAUGUGCCCAGAUGGGAUUAGCUAGUAGGUGGGGUAACGGCUCACCUAGGCGACGAUCCCUAGCUGGUCUGAGAGGAUGACCAGCCACACUGGAACUGAGACACGGUCCAG